UACGGAGGAUCCAAGCGUUAUCCGGAUUUAUUGGGUUUAAAGGGUGCGUAGGCGGCUUAUUAAGUCAGGGGUGAAAGACGUUGGCUCAACCAUCGCAGUGCCCUUGAUACUGAUGAGCUUGAAUACACUAGAGGUAGGCGGAAUGUGACAAGUAGCGGUGAAAUGCAUAGAUAUGUCACAGAACACCGAUUGCGAAGGCAGCUUACUAUGGUGUCAUUGACGCUGAGACGCGAAAGCGUGGGGAGCAAACA
rnacentral:rRNA from 1 species